rnacentral:rRNA from 1 species
GAUGAACGCUAGCGAUAGGCCUAACACAUGCAAGUCGAGGGGCAUCACAUGAAGUAGCAAUACGGAUGGUGGCGACCGGCGCACGGGUGAGUAACACGUAUGCAACCUGCCUUCAACAAGGGGAUAACCCGUUGAAAGACGGACUAAUACCCUAUAACACAGGGGUCCCGCAUGGGAAUAUUUGUUAAAGGACAACCGGUUGAAGAUGGGCAUGCGUUCCAUUAGCUAGUUGGCGGGUAACGGCCCACCAAGGCAACGAUGGAUAGGGGAACUGAGAGGUUUAUCCCCCACACUGGUACUGAGACACGGACCAGACUCCUACGGGAGGCAGCAGUGAGGAAUAUUGGUCAAUGGACGCAAGUCUGAACCAGCCACGUCGCGUGAAGGAAGACGGCCCUACGGGUUGUAAACUUCUUUUAUACGGGGAAUAAAGUGC